rnacentral:rRNA from 11 species
UCGGAUCAGGUAGGGAUACCCGCUGAACUUAAGCAUAUCAAUAAGCGGAGGAAAAGAAACCAACAGGGAUUGCCUCAGUAACGGCGAGUGAAGCGGUAACAGCUCAAAUUUGAAAUCUGGCCUCACGGUCCGAGUUGUAAUUUGUAGAGGAUGUUUUGGGCACCGCAGCCGGAUAAAUUUCUUGGAACAGAAUGUCAUAGAGGGUGAGAGUCCCGUCUUGACCGGCUGUAGGACCUGUGUAAAACUCCUUCGACGAGUCGACUUGUUUGGGAAUGCAGGUCAAAAUGGGUGGUAAAUUUCAUCUAAAGCUAAAUAUUGGCCAGAGACCGAUAGCGCACAAGUAGAGUGAUCGAAAGAUGAAAAGCACUUUGAAAAGAGAGUUAAACAGCACGUGAAAUUGUUGAAAGGGAAGCGCUUGCAACCAGACUUGCGCGCGGCCGAUCAUCCGGUGUUCUCACCGGUGCACUCGGCCGUGCUCAGGCCAGCAUCGGUUUUGGCGGCUGGAUAAAGGCCCUAGGAAUGUAGCUCCUCUCGGGGAGUGUUAUAGCCUAGGGUGCAAUGCAGCCUGCUGGGACCGAGGACCGCGCUUCGGCUAGGAUGCUGGCGUAAUGGUUGUAAGCGGCCCGUCUUGAAACACGGACCAAGGAGUCCAGC